UCCAUGGUUACAGCUCAUUCUAAAUUAGCAUCACAGGAACGAUUUGUCUGAGGAGCACCUUGGAGACACACAUCUCCUUCUCAGCGUUCGUGAAGCGUCUGUUCUCUGUGUUCUCAAAACCACCGCGGUCACAGCAGGAGCUUUGUCUGCAUGAGGAGUUUCUGCUCAUCCUUUUGUGUCACAAACACCGCUGAUCCAAUCCCCACAGUUUACGGCAUCCCUUCCAUCACCCGUCAUCGGAUGAACCAGAGGAGGAAGGAAGCGGAAUCUCGGAGAAUCUGCUGAUGCAAACCUUUGGCCUCCGCAGCUCAUUGUGUUGUUUUCUGAGAUCAUUUGGAGGAAUUGAUGUCACACGGAGCGACCCUUUUGUAUCUUCUGAGGCAGAUGCUUUCACUGUCGUUCCUCCCUCCUCCCACGGAGGACGGGAUGGAGGGGGAUGGAAAGCAGAGGGAGGAGAGAACUGCCUCCAUGACUAGAACCUCCCCCUCUCCUCUCUCCCCACUUGACUGCGCCCAGAUCCUCUCCCUCCAUCCCGCCUCUCCUCUCGGCGGACUGACUGCACCCAGCGCGCAGAACCCGACAUUUGACGGUUCUGGAUCGGGUUGGACCGGGGCUAGUCUGUCCUUUUGCGCCUGGACUACGACUGCUUUGUGGGCUUCUCUGGAGAAAAAAGUCCAGAAAGGACGCUCUGCAUCCCUCGCAGCAUCAUCCCCCCGCAUCCGCAGCAUCAGGACCACAGAGGAGAGGCGCACCGACCAAGACGUUUGGACCUCACAUGAAAAGAACCCGCGUGAGCUCACAGGCACCAGGGGGCGCUGCACAGGAGGGCUGAAGCCUGGAGUGGUUCUCUGUUGGACCAAACUUCAGAUUCUUUACGUCAACAUUUAGGAUUUUUAAGCAACAUUUUCUCCCAGAAUCAAACACACAUCUGUCCACUUUCCACCAGUAAUUCCCAUCAGCAGCCUGAACGUUCUCCAUCCUCCACGUCCGUGAUGCUCCUCAUGUACGCCGCUCUCCUGAACAGCAGAGAACCCCAGAUUCCCUCUCAGGAGGGGGGUGGAGAUCUCUUAGAUGAGCUUUCCACCCAAAGGCAGACGCAGCGACCCGUGCAGGAGGAGUGACGCUCUGCAGCAACAAUUCACGUCGAAAUGAAAACCCUUCCAGAUUCUGGCUCAGAGCCGGUCAUCUGAGGAGGUUCUUGAUGGUCAGAUCCCCAAUCUCUGCUGGUUUGCAGCGGUUUGCUCUCAGAGCUUCUCAGACGUUCAGGCUGAACUUGAGGGUCAUUUCUGGGUCCAAACUUUAUAGAAGCUGCAGUCAGAUGACCAGGCUGCAGUGUGCAAGCAUGAGGAAAUCUGCAGGAGGAGGAAAUCUGCUGACUUUCUACUCACUAAUGCAUUUCCACCCAACUCACAGGCCGCCGCAUCGAUCUGUGAAGGAGCGCCGCCUCUGCUGGAAAAACACGGCUGGAAAGAUGCUAUACUUUACUAAGCAUGCAGCAGCCGUGCAGCAAAGCAUGCAAUCCGAUGCAAGCAACAACUUCAGAUUCAGUUCAACCCGCAGAUUAAAGAUUAGAGAAAGAUGAAAGAUUUAAGCCCAAAGAAAAUGAUUUUCUACUUUAAAGCAGAAAUAUGUGGAGUUUUCACUCUGAUGUCAGAUUUAGCAUGAAAUGAACUCAGAACUAUGAGACGAGUUAAUCUAUGGAUUCAUGAAUAUAACAGAGAAAAAAAGACAAAAACUUAAAGUUUCUUUAAAGCACAUUGAUGUAUUUCUUGUAUCGUCCUUUGAGUUCUAUUUCUUAUUCUUCUGUUACUUGUUUUAAUCAUAAAUGCCAUAAAAAACCCAAUUUUAUUUGGAAAAAAAUAACUUUUGAUUGAAAUGAAUGUUUUAUGUUUUAUUGAUGGAUUUGAGUCGUUAAUUAAUAAAGAUAUCUUUUAUCAAAUGAAACAUUGA